AGAGUUUGAUCAUGGCUCAGGACGAACGCUGGCGGCGCGCCUAACACAUGCAAGUCGAACGGAGCUUGAAGAGCUUGCUUUUUAAGCUUAGUGGCGAACGGGUGAGUAACGCGUGAGUAACCUGCCCUGGAGUGGGGGACAACAGUUGGAAACGACUGCUAAUACCGCAUAAGCCCACGGCCCGGCAUCGGGCUGCGGGAAAAGGAUUUAUUCGCUUCAGGAUGGACUCGCGUCCAAUUAGCUGGUUGGUGAGGUAACGGCCCACCAAGGCGACGAUUGGUAGCCGGACUGAGAGGUUGAACGGCCACAUUGGGACUGAGACACGGCCCAGACUCCUACGGGAGGCAGCA
rnacentral:rRNA from 1 species